AUUGAACUGUUUGGGGAAAAAGGAAGAAGCUUAUGAAUUGGUUCGUAGAGGUUUGAGAAAUGACUUGAAGAGUCAUGUGUGUUGGCACGUUUAUGGCCUUCUUCAGAGGUCAGACAAGAAGUAUGAUGAAGCCAUUAAGUGUUACAGAAAUGCACUAAAAUGGGAUAAAGACAAUCUUCAAAUCUUAAGGGACCUUUCCUUACUACAGAUUCAAAUGCGAGAUCUUGAGGGUUACAGGGAAACGAGAUAUCAGUUACUUCAGCUUCGACCUGCGCAGAGAGCAUCAUGGAUUGGUUAUGCUAUUGCUUACCAUUUAUUAGAAGAUUAUGAAAUGGCAGCAAAGAUUUUAGAAGAAUUUAGGAAAACACAACAGACAUCCCCUGAUAAGGUGGAUUAUGAAUAUAGUGAACUACUCUUAUAUCAGAAUCAAGUUCUUCGGGAAGCGGGUCUCUAUAGAGAAGCUUUGGAACAUCUUUGUACCUAUGAAAAGCAGAUUUGUGAUAAACUUGCUGUAGAAGAAACCAAAGGGGAACUUCUGUUGCAACUAUGUCGUUUGGAAGAUGCUGCAGAUGUUUAUAGAGGAUUGCAAGAGAGAAAUCCUGAAAACUGGGCCUAUUACAAGGGCUUGGAAAAAGCACUCAAGCCAGCUAAUAUGUUAGAACGGCUAAAAAUUUAUGAGGAAGCCUGGACUAAAUAUCCCAGGGGACUGGUGCCAAGAAGGCUGCCGUUAAACUUUUUAUCUGGUGAGAAGUUUAAAGAAUGUUUGGAUAAGUUCCUAAGGAUGAAUUUCAGCAAGGGUUGCCCACCAGUCUUCAAUACUUUAAGAUCAUUAUACAAAGACAAAGAAAAGGU
rnacentral:sRNA from 1 species